AAGGUGAUAGCGACAUCAAACAAGUUCAACAAUUAAAAGAAGACGUGAGGAAGAUGAUUGUCUCUCCCAUUUAUAACAAUUUCUCUUUUAAAUUAAACUUUAUCGACUCGAUACAGCGUUUGGGUGUUUCUUAAAAUCAUAUUAGAAAAGUGAGUCAUUCCUAAAAUUUUAGAAAGAUGGAAGAAAAAGAUCAAAUAUAUGAACAAGAAAGAGGACAUGUGGUUUCAAGCCUUGAUUGCUAUAUGAAGCAACAUAAUACCUCAAGGCAAGAUACCAUUGAAGAACUACUUAAGUUAGUUGAGAGUGCUUGGAAGGACAUUAAUGCAGCUUGUCUUAAUCCUACUCAAGUACCAAUGAAAUUUCUUAUGCGUGUUGUCAACCUUGCGCGCAUGAUGGAUGUGCUUUACAAAGAUGAAGAUAGUUAUACAAAUGCAGGGGGAAUAAUGAAAGACUACAUCAAAAUUUUACUAGUUAAUAAGAUAUUUGAUUAAGUAUCCAAGUUAGAAGUUUAUUUUAUUUAUUAUAUUGUUGAUCUAUUUCUUGAAUUUAUGUAAUAUUAUAUGAUAAUUUCUCUUUA